rnacentral:rRNA from 1 species
UGGUAGACUACCACGUUGAUAGGCUGGAGGUGUAAGUGCGGUAACGCAUUUAGCUGACCAGUACUAAUAGACCGUGAGACUUGACCCU